UUGUUCGGAAUCACUGGGCGUAAAGCGUGCGUAGGCUGUUUCGUAAGUCGUGUGUGAAAGGCAGGGGCUCAACCCCUGGAUUGCACAUGAUACUGCGAGACUAGAGUAAUGGAGGGGGAACCGGAAUUCUCGGUGUAGCAGUGAAAUGCGUAGAUAUCGAGAGGAACACUCGUGGCGAAGGCGGGUUCCUGGACAUUAACUGACGCUGAGGCACGAAGGCCAGGGGAGCGAAAGGGAUUAGAUACCCCUGUAGUCCUGGCAGUAAACGGUGCACGCUUGGUGUGCGGGGAAUCGACCCCCUGCGUGCCGGAGCUAACGCGUUAAGCGUGCCGCCUGGGGAGUACGGUCGCAAGAUUAAAACUCAAAGAAAUUGACGGGGACCCGCACAAGCGGUGGAGUAUGUGGCUUAA
rnacentral:rRNA from 1 species